AACCAGCACCUCAAGUGGUCAGGAUGAUUAUUGGGCCUAAAGCAUCCGUAGCCGGUUCUGUAAGUUUUCGGUUUGCCGAAAAUACUGCAGAACUAGGGAGUGGGAGAGGUAGACGGUACUCGGUAGGAAGGGGUAAAAUCCUUUGAUCUAUUGAUGACCACCUGUGGCGAAGGCGGUCUACCAGAACACGUUCGACGGUGAGGGAUGAAAGCUGGGGGAGCAAACCGG
rnacentral:rRNA from 1 species